rnacentral:rRNA from 1 species
UACGUAGGGGGCAAGCGUUGUCCGGAUUUACUGGGCGUAAAGAGCGCGCAGGCGGUCGUUCAAGUCGCGUGUGAAAGCCCCCGGCUCAACUGGGGAGGGUCACGCGAUACUGAUCGACUCGAAGGCAGGAGAGGGAAGUGGAAUUCCCGGUGUAGUGGGUGAAAAUGCGUAGAUAUCGGGAGGAACACCAGUGGCGAAGGCGACUUCCUGGCCUGUUCUUGACGCUGAGGCGCGAAAGCUAGGGGAGCAAACGGG